UGUAGGUAAAUGUAGUUAAGGUUAUAUGCACUGUUUCCAGUGUAUUUUUGAAAUGUAGUCAAAUGUAGGUAAAUGUAGUUAAGGUUAUAUUAAGUGUUUACAGUGAGUUUUAAAAUGUAGUCAAAUGUAGGUAAAUGUAGUUAAGGUUAUACGCAGUGUUUCUAGUGUGUUUUUAAAAUGUAGUCAAAUUUUUGUAGUUAUAUGAACUUUGUAGUUAAUUGUAGUUACUUGUAGUUAAUCGUAGUCAGUUGAAAAAU
rnacentral:lncRNA from 1 species